AUUGUGAAAGACUUGUAAGUCAUCUGGUAUGAUUCUGGCACAUACAUCAAACAUUCACUCAAGAAGUAUUUGAAUGACUGCCUCGUGCUGCCAGGUGUUUGGGAUACAGCAGUGAGCAAAACCAGAGAUGGGUACUGUUUCUAUCUUCUGCACUAGAAAGUAAGCUCCAGCAGGGAAUGUAGGGUCCGUGAGAGCAGGAGCCCUUUUUGUCUUACUCCCUAUUGUCGUCCCAGAGCCUAGGAUGUUGCCUAGCAUAUACACACAGAUCUCUCUUGGACACUGGGGAUCAAAGCAUCUAUCUAUCAUGAUAUUCAGAACUCCCCUCCAGUAUUAACUAAGGAUGUUAGAUUUUGCAGCUUCUUUCAGAGCAGUUGCUAAGGGUACCACAUUGCUUAUCCUCAUCAUUGCAGAGCAAGACAAGACUGUAUCCAGAGGGCUGAUCUCAUUUUGAUGGAAAUCACAAUGAUGGAAAAAAUCUUCCAUCAUUUUUCAUAUCUCUUGCAACUCCCUGUCCCUUCCCCCCACCAGGUAGCAUCCAUAGGCUCCUUCUUGGUCCACUCUGUCCACUGCUUAUACCUCCCUCCACUUUUGGCAGUUGACCUUCCUUAAAGGCAUUGCAUUGAGAGACUAAGAGAAAAAUUACCAGGUGUACUCACAACUGCAAA